GAUGAACGCUAGCUACAGGCUUAACACAUGCAAGUCGAGGGGUAACGAGAGGAAAGCUUGCUUUCCUUGUCGACGACCGGCGCACGGGUGAGUAACGCGUAUCCAACCUGCCCCCAACUAAGGAAUAACCUUGCGAAAGUAAGACUAAUACCUUAUAAUUUCCUCAGAUGACAUCUGACGAGGAAUAAAGAUUUAUCGGUUGUGGAUGGGGAUGGGUCUGAUUAGCUUGUUGGCGGGGUAACGGCCCACCAAGGCAACGAUCAGUAGGGGUUCUGAGAGGAAGGUCCCCCACAUUGGAACUGAGAAACGGUCCAAACUCCUACGGGAGGCAGCAGUGAGGAAUAUUGGUCAAUGGGCGGAAGCCUGAACCAGCCAAGUAGCGUGCAGGAUGACGGCCCUAUGGGUUGUAAACUGCUUUUAUACAGGAAUAAAGUUAGCCACGUGUGGUUAUUUGUAGGUACUGUAUGAAUAAGGACCGGCUAAUUCCGUGCCAGCCGCCGCCGUAA
rnacentral:rRNA from 1 species